GGGCCAGUAGCUCAAUUGGUUAGAGCUGUCCGCUCAUAACGGACUGGUCGCGGGUUCAACUCCUGCCUGGCCCACCA
rnacentral:tRNA from 2 species